ensembl:lncRNA
CCACUUCAGUCAGUCUACUUUCACUUUCCUUUGACUGUAAACGGUUUUUGAUCAAGCUAGGCUAGACUGACGAUAGAUCAAUAUAUAUCUGAAAGUAUUUGGGGGUUUUUUCAUCCCAGCGUCUCUUUUGCUCCCGAAGACCCCAUUUGCACAGCAGGUGAAAUCAUGGAUGGUUUGCUUAAGGAAAUAAGAAGCAAGGACCAAGCAGCCGCCUCUGUACUGGAACAGGCGGAUUUACGCAGUGACUCAGAUCUCCAGUCACUGACUUUACAAGACCUGGGUUUGCUGUUCCCUGGAGUUAAAAAUGUCAAACUGAGAAGGGAUAUCUUUGAUAUAAUACACAAGCAGAAAUCAAUUGGUGAGCUCAUAGAAAAAUCCAAGCACUUCAUCCCACAUGACUCUCUCAGGGCUGCCUUAACUGAAAAUGGAGUUUUGGUCGACUACCUGAAAAUGUUGAAGGAAAUGAAGACCCAAAUGAAUAAAGAUUUCCUUGAUCCGCAUAUCAAUCUACUGGAGGACUUCAGGAAAUCUCAACCAUCGCAGGACCAGGACAAAGGUGAAAUCAUGGAUAUUUUGCUUAAGGAAAUAAGACGCAAGGAUGAAGUGGCAGCCAAUAAACUGGAAGAGGAAGGUUUGAGAGCUGACUCAGAUCUCCAGUUACUGACUUUACAAGACCUGGGUUUGCUGUUACCUGGAGUUGAAAAUGUCAAACGGAUAAGGGAAAUCUUUGAUAUAAUACACAAGCAGAAACCAAUUGGUGUGCUCAUAGAAAAAUUCAAGGACUUCAUCCCACAUGAAUCUUUCAGGGCUGCCUUAACUGAAAAUGGAGUUUUGGUUGACUACCUGAAAAUGUUGAAGGAAAUGAAGAUCCAAUUGAAUAAAGUGCAAGAUUUCCUUGAUGCACAUAUCAAUCUACUGGAGGACCUCAGGAAAUCUCAACCAUUGCAGAACCAGGACAAAGGUUCUUCGUCAAGUGGUCCAGUGAAGCGCCACAAUAGCCAAACCAGUGACCCUCCACAAAUGCAACAAGAGGAAAACGUUUUGCAUAAAGAAAAAAGACACAAGGAUGAAAAAGCAGCAGGUUCUUCGUCAAGUAGUGAGAAUAGCCAAACUAGUGACCUUCCAGAAAUACAACAAGCCACACUGAAGUACAAGAUGGUGAUAAGUGGAAAAACCUUUAAUGCCCAUCAACAGAUACUGGAAAAAGUAAAGGCUUUAAAUGAGGAUCCAGAUUUGAAUUUGAUCGAACAGGAAGACAGCAAUCAGGAUUGCCAGGCCAUUAUUGUCUUCUGUCCCAUUGUUUCACGUAUGGGGACAGAUAUUGAUGCAGCCAUGACGCAAGUCAAAGGUAAGGGAAAGAAUUAAAUUAGUCAUCCAUUCAAAAAAUUGCAGUUGUGUUUUAUGAGACAUUUUUGGGUUUGAGAAUACGACCUGAAAGUAACUCAUAAUAAUGAUGAGCUUUUAAAAGCAUCAGGAAUAGCAUGAAUUUUGUCUAAUGUUUCUAUAGUAUAAGAAAAUCUGUGGCCAUUAAAAUUUUUUUCUUUUAAUACUUUUCCACUGUUAUGUUAUGUUCUCGUAAUCCGUCUCCUCUUUUUUGCUCUCUGUAGGUUCUCAGCCUGUCAUUCUGGUUUUGAUGCAUCACGCACAUGAACCCAAGCAUGUAACUUUAAUGAAAAUACAGAAUAAUGUUUCUAAUGUUGUGUUACCUUUCCAUGUUUUCUACCAUGAGACAGUGCAUGGAUUGUUGCAGUGUCAGCAAAAUAACGAUGCCAUUUCUGAAAUUCGAAAGGCAUUACUGAAGCACGCAGAUAUCCAGACAAUUAAAGAUACAAGUGGAAAGACACAGAAUGUAGCUGCUAAAAGUAGUAAUCGUGGUGGGAGUUUUAUUUUUCGUUUUUGGUAAAUAAUGAUAGUGUAAAUUCAGAUAUUACAAGUCAAAGAAACUGUAUAUAUAUCCCAUGCAUUACUCUUUUGUAAUCUAAUUUUUUUUGCGCUGUAUCACUUCAGUAGUGUAGAUUGCUCUGACCAUUUGAGUAGGAAGCGAAAAUUUUAUGGUUUUGAUCAUGCAAAAUAAUUAUUUUGUACAUUGUGAAACAAAAGGACAGCACAGAAUCGUCUUUGUGACCUUUAUUUCAGUACUUUAAGAUAUUUCAGCUGUAAGGGUAGUUGCAGAGUCAACAGGUGUGAUCAUGAAGUGUCAAAGAAGAGGUCAGAGACACAGUAUAUGGGUGUAGAUAGUCAUAAAACUACUUUCAACUGUACCAACUGCUGUUUAUCUCUAAAAACAAAAGUGACAGCUACAGCUGUAUGUACACAGUGACAUCGUAAGUCCUUUGAUCAUUAAGAUAAAUAAUAAAUAUAUUUAUAUCAAAGUCAAACAUAUUGUGAUUAGUUUCACGGUUGCUAUGUAAAUCUGCAAGUUAUUUUCAUCUUUCAGAAAAAAAAAAUCAAGCCAAUGUUUAAAAUUGUGAAUAAAAAUGUAAAAAAACAUCUGUUGUCUUCUUUUUCUUUUUUCCUUUUUUUUUUUUUUUUUUUUUAAAUUGAGGGGUCCUGAACAGUUCAAAACACCAGUGUAUUUACAGUAUAAUUUAACCUAGUUCAGCUAAUAUUUCUGCUGUUAUUUUCUAUAUUCUUGACUUUUAUUCACUCUAAGAAAGACUAAAGAGUGCAAAGACCACAUAUUCAAUGAUAAGCCACUUUAUACAUGUUUACAUUAUAUUCAUAGAAAAUGAAAAAUUGUGUGUGACAAACUUUUUUUUUCUUUUUUCUUUUCUUUUCUUUUUUUUCUUUCCCUUUUUUUUCUUUUUGGCUGGUGUAAAGUUUGUCAUCUAAAUAAAAUGCCCUUUGUCUCCGGUUCUGUUCAUAAUUUUUAUGGACAGGAUUUCUAGGCGCAGCCAAGUGGCGGAGGGCUUUCGCUUUGGUGGCCUCAGAAUCUCAUCUCUGAUUUUUGCA